rnacentral:rRNA from 1 species
GAAUUGACGGGGGCCCGCACAAGCGGUGGAGCAUGUGGUUUAAUUCGAUGCAACGCGAAGAACCUUACCUGGUCUUGACAUCCACGGAAGUUUUCAGAGAUGAGAAUGUGCCUUCGGGAACCGUGAGACAGGUGCUGCAUGGCUGUCGUCAGCUCGUGUUGUGAAAUGUUGGGUUAAGUCCCGCAACGAGCGCAACCCUUAUCCUUUGUUGCCAGCGGUCCGGCCGGGAACUCAAAGGAGACUGCCAGUGAUAAACUGGAGGAAGGUGGGGAUGACGUCAAGUCAUCAUGGCCCUUACGACCAGGGCUACACACGUGCUACAAUGGCGCAUACAAAGAGAAGCGACCUCGCGAGAGCAAGCGGACCUCAUAAAGUGCGUCGUAGUCCGGAUUG